AGGUGAAAUUUAUAGUUCGAUAGUAAAGUUGAAUCUUGUUGAUUUUCUUGGAGGCCAUUGAAGUUUAGGUUUAAACCAGGAUUAGAUACCCUGUUAUUCUAAACUUAAAGUUUAUUGCUUGAUUAGUAUCAGUUAUGAGCUUGAAAUUUAAAGGAUUUGGCGGUAUCCAAGUCUAGUUAGAGGAACCUGCCAUUUAAACGAUAUGCCACGAAUGAUCUUACUUUGUCUUGUCAAACAGUAUGUAUACCGCCAUUAUUAGGUGGUGUAUUAAUAUAGCCAUUAAAAUUAAUUUAUAUUAAGUAUAUUAGGUCAAGGUGCAGCCCAUGACAAAGAUAUCGGUGGGUUACAGUGUGUUAUAUAUAAACGGAUGGACUCUUGAAACGGGGUCUUGAAGGUGGAUUUAAUUGUAUUUCUUUUUUAAUAUGUUAGAUUGAUCAUAGCUCUAGGAUAUGUA
rnacentral:rRNA from 1 species